rnacentral:ncRNA from 1 species
UAAGCUGGCGGCGCAGCUGGUUCGCCCUGUCCCCCAGGCAGGCGCGUCGCAAGAGGGAACCCGGUGGGAAUCCGGGACUGCCCCGCAGCGGUGAACGGGAACGACCGCCGUCAUACGCACUGGAUCCGGCAAGCGGAUCCGGGAAGCGACGGCCAGUAGGUGCCUCGUGGGACACGAGGCGGGCCCGUGAGUCCGAAGACCUGCCACUGCCCGUGUACGACC